rnacentral:rRNA from 1 species
CCUACGGGGGGCUGCAGUGGGGAAUAUUGGACAAUGGGGGGAACCCUGAUCCAGCGACGCCGCGUGAGUGAAGAAGUAUUUCGGUAUGUAAAGCUCUAUCGGCAGGGAAGAAAGACAUGACGGUACCUGACUAAGAAGCCCCGGCUAACUACGUGCCAGCAGCCGCGGUAAUACGUAUGGUGCAAGCGUUAUCCGGAUUUACUGGGUGUAAAGGGAGCGCAGGCGGCAGUGCAAGUCUGGAGUGAAAGGCGGGGGCUCAACCCCCGGACUGCUCUGGAAACUGUACGGCUGGAGUGCAGGAGAGGUAAGUGGAAUUCCUAGUGUAGCGGUGAAAUGCGUAGAUAUUAGGAGGAACACCAGUGGCGAAGGCGGCUUACUGGACUGUAACUGACGUUGAGGCUCGAAAGCGUGGGGAGCAAACAGGAUUAGAUACCCGAGUAGUC